GAUCAUGGCUCAGGAUGAACGCUAGCUACAGGCUUAACACAUGCAAGUCGAGGGGCAGCAUGAACUUGGCUUGCUAAGUUUGAUGGCGACCGGCGCACGGGUGAGUAACACGUAUCCAACCUGCCGAUGACUCGGGGAUAGCCUUUCGAAAGAAAGAUUAAUACCCGAUGGCAUAAUUCUUCCGCAUGGUAGAACUAUUAAAGAAUUUCGGUCAUCGAUGGGGAUGCGUUCCAUUAGGUUGUUGGCGGGGUAACGGCCCACCAAGCCUUCGAUGGAUAGGGGUUCUGAGAGGAAGGUCCCCCACAUUGGAACUGAGACACGGUCCAAACUCCUACGGGAGGCAGCAGUGAGGAAUAUUGGUCAAUGGACGAGAGUCUGAACCAGCCAAGUAGCGUGAAGGAUGACUGCCCUAUGGGUUGUAAACUGCUUUUAUAAGGGAAUAAAGUGAGUCUCGUGAGACUUUUUGCAUGUACCUUAUGAAUAAGGACCGGCUAAUUCCGUG
rnacentral:rRNA from 1 species